UUUUUCUCUAAUUUUUUUUUCUGAAAAAUCAUCAGGCAUGAUGCUAAGCUGUGAGCUGUCCUAUAAUCCAGGAGUUUCCAAACUUAUUUGAAUUAACGGCUCUGAUGACUUCUGUCAGUGUCCAAAAAAUUAAUCCUGCCAUGGAAAUGACCCUGUACCCAGAGGAGCAGAACCGCUGUCCCAGUGGAGAACCCUAAGGAGGAAGACUGGAUACCCAUAUUUUGUAGCUGACACCCUCCCCUUAAGUCUGGGAGUAAGUCACUCUGGCAAAGAAUCAGCAUUUCCAGAGGAUGCUGGGAUUUGUCCUCAAGAGAUGACGCACCUUCAUCUACCCACAAUGAACCCAGGGUCCAGCUUUAACUCUGCAUUGAACUGUCUGGAAUGGAAGUACAAAUUGUCCUCCUUCUGGAAUAAUAUUGUCCACUGCUUGAGACAGGGUAUUGGAUUUGUUGAGUCUUGGCUCUGACCUGGUAUGGAUAUUCUUAUCCUCCUUACAUCAGGUUGCUCUAUCAUUGGUGGGUCCUUUAGGGAAUGGAGAUAGAGAAAGCAGAACAUGUUUCACUUGGAAUUUUUUGUAUCUAAAUUUAUCCCUCAAUGCACAUGAACACAUGAAAUAAGGGGUACCAAAGUCAUGUUCUUUCUUUGCAGGCCAUCUUCACUUUAAAAAUAUCAUGUCUUAAUGAUCCUAACAAAUAAUCUCAAAGUAAUGGCAUCCUCAUGUAGCAGACUGUCUUUUCUUUCUCCUGAGGAGUGCAACUACUUUCAAGCAAAAAAUCAGCUUUGUGUCAUAGGGAGAUAAGUAGCAGAAAAACUGCAUAUACAGUGCAAUUGCUAGUGAUCGAUUGUUAGAGUCAUUUUAGAGGCCAAAUAUAUCUU